UACGUAGGGGGCUAGCGUUGUCCGGAUUUAUUGGGCGUAAAGAGCGUGUAGGCGGCCAGGUAGGUCUGCUGUGAAAACUCGAGGCUUAACCUCGAGAUGUCGGCGGAAACCAUCUGGCUAGAGUCCGGAAGAGGAGAGUGGAAUUCCAGGUGUAGCGGUGAAAUGCGUAGAUAUUCGGAGGAACACCAGUGGCGAAGGCGGCUCACUGGCUCGAUACUGACGCUGAGGUGCGAAAGCGUGGGGAGCAAACAGG
rnacentral:rRNA from 1 species